rnacentral:misc_RNA from 1 species
UUUCCGUAGGUGAACCUGCGGAAGGAUCAUUACUGAGUGAGGGCCCCUCGGGGUCCAACCUCCCACCCGUGUUUAACGAACCUUGUUGCUUCGGCGGGCCCGCCUCACGGCCGCCGGGGGGCAUCUGCCCCCGGGCCCGCGCCCGCCGAAGCCACCUGUGAACGCUGUCUGAAGUAUGCAGUCUGAGACGAUUAUUAAAUUAAUUGAAACUUUCAACAACGGAUCUCUUGGUUCCG